rnacentral:rRNA from 1 species
UACGUAGGGUGCGAGCGUUAAUCGGAAUUACUGGGCGUAAAGCGUGCGCAGGCGGUUUCUAAAGUCCGUUGUGAAAGCCCCGGGCUUAACCUGGGAAUGGCAGUGGAAACUAGGAGACUUGAAUCUGGCAGAGGGGGGUGGAAUGCCACGUGUAGCAGUGAAAUGCGUAGAGAUGUGGCGGAACACCGAUGGCGAAGGCAGCCCCCUGGGUCAAGAUUGACGCUCAGGCACGAAAGCGUGGGGAGCAAACAGG